UACGUAGGUGGCAAGCGUUGUCCGGAUUUACUGGGCGUAAAGAGCGCGCAGGCGGUCGUUCAAGUCACGUGUGAAAGCCCCCGGCUCAACCGCGGGCCUGCAUUCGAUACGGGCAGGCUAGAGUUCGGUAGGGGAGACUGGAAUUCCUGGUGUAGCGGUGAAAUGCGCAGAUAUCAGGAGGAACACCGGUGGCGAAGGCGGCACUCUGGGCCGGUACUGACGCUGAGGAGCGAAAGCGUGGGGAGCGAACAGG
rnacentral:rRNA from 1 species